GCCAACGUGGUGUGGUGGUUUGAGUGUUGGACCAGGACUCAGGAGGCCAGGGUUCAAACCCCAGCUUGGUCA